AGGUGUUUGUGAGGUAAAGGAGCAGAUCUGGAGGGAUCAUGGAUAUGGAGUGUUUGGUGAACUGGGAUAUUUGGAUGCUGUCGUCUCCUCACUCUUACUUCGAUAAUGAAUUUGGACUCUAAUAUCUACAGUCCGCUACAAUGUGCUCAGGACCACAAUUUGCGUGAACAGUUCUGCAGUGUUGAGGAUGAGGAUGGGUCCUGUUCUAAGUCUGGUACCUCUCAAGGUAUGUUCCUCAAAGUCUGUGUUUUUCCUUCACCACAGUCACCGCUGGAUCACUCGUCAGAGAUAAACUUAUAAGUAUCAAACAGACACUAAACUUCUACACUCUUUUAUACGUUAUAACUUUAUCUGUGUGAAGUUGCUGUGAGACAACGUCCAUUAUUAGAAACACUACAGACAUUAAAGUGAAUUGAAGUGAAAAUCUGAUGCUGCAGACUGAGAGAGUUAUAGACAGUGAGGAGUGUAAUUCCAGGUUAAACUCUACACAUGCACUAGUGAUCUUUUCAGUUUCACACUAAAGACAGAACAGAUGAUAUCUCACUAUAAAAGAACUCAACACGGGGUCUGAACUGGUCCUAAUGCUGCUUCUGUUCAACUGCACUUAGAAUCAGAAUCACUACAGUGACUAAACAUUAAACACUGAACACCACGUGUCUGAUCUGCUGCACAGGGAAACGCUUUUACUAACAUCAUACUGUUCCACAUGUGCAGCAGAUGUGUUACAAAUUGUGUUCCUGUGCACUUCAACAGACAAUCAGACAGACAGACAGACAGACAGACAGACGAGUGGAGGCAUUGGUUGAGUAUAUGGCAUAGUUUUACUUUCACAUUAUUCAGUACAGAGUAAAUUUUAUCUAACACAGGUAUCUGACAGGUUCAACACCGAUACACUGGGGCUGCAUUAGCUAGCGGAUACUGCAAAGACACACACCAAACACACACUCACGCACGCACGCACACACAUUAUGACAUGAUUCUACACUACAAUGACAAAGUCCCAUCAUUACGUCACGGCAGAAGUGCAGUAAAGGAGAGCAGUGACUUCAUUUAACUAACGACACCAAUGUCUCAUAAAUCUCCAAUAAAUCCUUUCUUACACACACACACACACACACACACACACACACACACAGUACUGUUCCUGUGACUGACAGCUGCUUUAAUCUGAUAGGUCUCUAAUCUUUCUCCACUCUGUGUGUGUGUGUGUGUGUGUGUGUGUGUGUGUGUGUGUGUGUGUGUGUGUGUGUGUGUGUGUGUGUGUAUACGCGUGUCCCAACAAUACGUCUCAGGAAUGUUUAUAGGUUGAAAUGUUGCUGAUCUCUCUCUCUCACACACACACACACACACACACACACACACACACACACACACACACACA